rnacentral:sRNA from 1 species
AGAGUCCAGUCUUCAGAUGGACGCAGCCUUCACAAUGCCCGCUCCUGCCCACUGCUUAGUCAUUCUGCAGGGCAUCCUGCUGACUAAAACCAGGGCUGCAGAACCGAGCCUCAGACCUGGUGUGGUGAUCUGUGACCUGGCUGUCUGUUGCUGUGGAUCAUUUGUUGACCCUCUCUAGGACUCAGUUUCCCCACCUUUGCGAAGGGGGCAUCAAUUGUUGCCACCCCCUUAAGUGCUUUGGGGCUCAGAGAAGUGGGUACUGAGCCAUAGUAAUGGCUUGGUCCUGAGCCUGACCUAGGAGCUCCAGGCUGCAAGGCUUGCCUUUUUUUCUGAGAUGUCCAGGGUGGCCCCUGGUCUGGGAGAGGAAAGAUACCAAGUCUCUAAGCUCUCCCCCAGCCCACCUGCUUGUGAAUGUAUUCUAAAGGCUUUAGAUUUGCUCCUAUGGGAGGCCUGAUGACUGUUGUCAGUAGACUGACACCCCAGCAGAAUCUCAGGGCACUGGCAGCCAUAUGAGUGUGAGGUCAUCUUCUCCUUGAGAGCCACAGUGGUAACCUUGUCACUCCAGCAUGUCCUGUGCUGAGCUCCUCCAGGAACCGGAUCAGACUUCUCCCCAGCCUCAAGGCCCCACUGUUGACUGAGCCUACUGGCUACUGCCUUCCACCCCCAGUGCCUCCAUCCCUAGACUAAGAGGUGCCCUGCCCACUCGGCUGCCCGUGAUGGUGAGCACGUGCCUGCUUCAAGAGUGCGCUCCAGCCCUUGUCACAGCAGCAAUGGCCAAGCACUGAUCCAGCUUGCCGGCUCAGCACUCCGCAGCAAGAGACCGAAGUCACUCUUGACAGCCCCCAUGAGCUCAGCAAGCACACAGAAGCAGAACAGAGGGAAACCGGCCAGCUUCCUGCCAAGGUGCUGAGUGGACAGACAGGCUGCUGAAGACAGAAGUGGAGGGAGAAAAUUGGUGACCUUGACGGUAAAGAGCAUUGGUGCCCUGGGGACCCAUCACAACCACCAAGGUCGAUGAGCAGACAUAGCUGGUGCUGCUUCCUGAAGGGUAAUCACGUUGAUGACAGUGCAGUCCCUGAGCUGUGAUUUGGUCUGGGAAUAGAAUUAUUAGGAAACCCAGCUUGGCUGUCACAGAUGCUCUGUUUGGGGUUUUCCCUUGAAGUAAACAGAAAGAGUCCCAGUGGAAGCAACGACUCAGCAGGAACUACGGCAGCUGGCCUCCCCACUGGCCACUCUGCUGUCCUCAAUGGUCACCCUCUCAAAGGCUCAAUUAAUAAACAUUUCCCAGUAUAGGCUGGGAAAUUGGCUACUGUUGAUGCAGUGGAUGAAAAUGACAGAGACGGCACCGGAACAGAGGAGCCCAACAGAGCCAGCUCAAAUCCUGGCCACGCCUCCUACCACUGUGACUCCGGACAGGGUUACUUCCCUUCUGCAACCCAGCAUCAUCUAAGACAUGGCCGUCAUCACAGAGAUAUUACGAUCAGCAGGGAAGCAAGUGGAACACAAAUUAAAGAGUCUUCUUCCUCCCUAUCCACGACCCAAAGAGAAUUUUAUACACGUUUAGAAAGAAGGAAGAGUAAUUGAGAUGAAGUGUGCCAAGCACUCGGCACGUGGCAAAUGCAGGAGACUGUUGCUGUUAUCAUUGUUAUUAUUCAACGCCACCACAGCCACCACAGCCACCACCGCUGCUGCCACCACUACAGAGUCAUGCUAAUCAGUGUGAAUCAUGUUUAUCACUGUCGCCACCACCACCACCAUAGCCGUGUUCACCAGUGCUUAGUAUGUUUAUCCCCAUCGGCACCACCACCACGAUUACCUUCUCCAUCACCUUUGCCAUUAUCACCACCACCGUCAGCAUCGCUCACUGUCAGCACCAGCACUACGCCCACUCUCUCCAUCAUUAUCCCCAUGGCCAUCAUCAGCACCUUCAUUAAGUGAGCCCUUUGGAACUCUAAAGGUCACACCGGUAUGCUCUAUUCUCACCUGCUGUGUAGCCGUAAGCUGGGCCGAAGUGUCCAUUUGAGCUCAACAUUGGAGACCCAAGUAAUGAUGAACACAUGUGGUGGCAUGUCACUCAACCUGGUGUGCUGGCUGUCCCUAGACUAGAGGACCCAGGGACCUCCUGGACCCCACGGAGUUCCAAACCUAUAAAUGACACAUGUAAAAUCACACAGGACCAGAAAGUGGGCCCAGCAGGCAGAGGGUAAUUUGAGUAUUUGAAGGCUCCAGGGGAACCAAUCUAGAGCUUGCUAUGCUCUGCUGGGCUGACGACUAUGAACUGUGAACCAUGCUCUGGAAAAGGACACAGGGCAUGCAUCUGGGAGAGGCGGGUUUGAAUCCCCCAUCCUCCAGGCAUUCACUGAUGGCCCUUGGGGACUCUGAGGCCAGGUUUGUACCUAAUGUAGCAGUCCUGUCAGAGGAAUGUUCCCUUAAGGGACCAACAAAAGAGCUGUGGACAGGGUUAAAUGACAUCAGAAGGCGGUGGUGGAAACCUGCCUUGGUGUUCUAGAAAUGAGAGCCACUCCAUCCCAACAGUCAAAUAUCAAAGGGUAGGAAUCACUUCUGAGACCCCUGUGGGGUCAGAGCCCACAACAGGAGGGGCAUCGCUACUACCCAUGGAAUACUUAGUCAGUGUGUGGGUUGAUGACAGUGAAUCUGGGAGCUGAUGGCUGACUGAGUUGGCGAAAGGCUUUCCAUACAAACAUGAGGACCUGAGUUUGUA